rnacentral:lncRNA from 1 species
CGGUGACAUCUUUUCGAACCUCUCUGGCGGCCAAGCCUCCGCAGCAUUCCUGAGUUCUGCCGAUGGAUAAACCCCCCACCAGCAUCGACCGGGUUCUUCAUGACAGACAGACUCCUACGGGAGCCGGAUCUCAUCCCCGACUCUGGCUGCAGGAAGACUUCAUCCGGACUCCUACGGGAGUCGGACUCCGCCCACGACUUCACCUGCAGGAAGACUUCAUCCGGACUCCUACG